rnacentral:rRNA from 1 species
CCUACGGGAGGCAGCAGUGGGGAAUUUUGGACAAUGGGCGAAAGCCUGAUCCAGCAAUGCCGCGUGAGUGAAGAAGGCCUUCGGGUUGUAAAGCUCUUUUGUCAGGGAAGAAACGGUGAGAGCUAAUAUCUCUUGCUAAUGACGGUACCUGAAGAAUAAGCACCGGCUAACUACGUGCCAGCAGCCGCGGUAAUACGUAGGGUGCAAGCGUUAAUCGGAAUUACUGGGCGUAAAGCGUGCGCAGGCGGUUUUGUAAGUCUGUCGUGAAAUCCCCGGGCUCAACCUGGGAAUUGCGAUGGAGACUGCAAGGCUAGAAUCUGGCAGAGGGGGGUAGAAUUCCACGUGUAGCAGUGAAAUGCGUAGAGAUGUGGAGGAACACCGAUGGCGAAGGCAGCCCCCUGGGUCAAGAUUGACGCUCAUGCACGAAAGCGUGGGGAGCAAACAGGAUUAGAUACCCUGGUAGUCCACGCCCUAAACGAUGUCUACUAGUUGUCGGGUUUUAAUAACUUGGUAACGCAGCUAACGCGUGAAGUAGACCGCCUGGGGAUACGGUCGCAAGNUUAAAACUCAAAUGAAUUGACCGGNUGAGAGNGCGAGACGACGACGAGGAGGAGG